rnacentral:rRNA from 1 species
GACGAACCGUGCAAACGUUAUUCGGAAUCACUGGCUUAAAGGGCGCGUAGGCGGGCAGGCAAGUCAGGGGUGAAGCCCACGGCUCAACCGUGGAAGUGCCUUUGAUACUGCCUUUCUCGAGGGAGGUAGGGCGUGCGGAACUUCCGGUGGAGCGGUGAAUGCGUAGAUAUCGGAAGGAACACCGGUGGCGAAAGCGGCGCGCUGGACCUCUUCUGACGCUGAGGCGCGAAGCCAGGGA